rnacentral:lncRNA from 1 species
UAGUAUAAUUUGGACUAGAUUAGAUUCAAUUUAGGUUAAACUAAUUUGAAUAAGUCAAUCAAUUCGGAAUCACCCUGAAUUGAUCUAGACUAAUCAAGCCUAGUUUAGUUCAAUCAAUAUUUGGGCUCAAAUCCAAUAAUAAUAUUGGGCUAGAUUGGGUCAGCCCAUCUACUGGUCAUGUGCAUUAUACAUAACUGAGCAUGCAUCACACAAAGUUGGCCCAGCCCUGGCCCAUGGACUGGUCAUGUGCGUUGCAUGUGACCGCUCAUGAUGGUUGGGUUGGGUUAGCCUACGGGCCAAGG